rnacentral:antisense_RNA from 1 species
AGUUGACGGUCAAGUCCAACGCUCGCCGCAGACAUCUAGUGGACCGGGCGCUCGCGGACGGAAGCGAACAGACCCAGUUGGACCCGUAUGACACGAAGCCGACCCACCUUUGCUGCCAUCUAACUCCGCUGACCUGCCCACCGUUCCCCCACUGUCCGCUGGUUGACCCGGGCAGCGGAGAGAGGAGGUGGCACCAACAGACGGCUUCUGCAAAGCUGAGAGCUCCUUUUAUCCGUGGAUCAGGAGCAAAGUUUGCAGCUACACUGUCAGGCUGUGUUUGGAUGUUAGCAGUUACUUUAGCUUUGCGUCUUCAGAGUAAUUGUUCUCAGCUACUUAACAAAGAAAAGGAAAGAAAAGAAAAUUUAAAAUUUUCUUCAUUGAUCAUUCAGGAGCAUGUUUAAUUUCCAUGUAUUUGUACAAUUUCAAAGUUCGACUUGUUGUUGACUUCUAGUUUUAUUCCAUUGUGGUCAGGAAAGAUAUUCGAUAUAAUUUCAAUUAUUUUAAAUUUGUUGAGACUUGUUUUGUGGCCUAAAAUAUGGUCUAUUCUGGAGAACGUUUCUUGUGCUGAUGAAAGAAUGUGUUUUCUGCAUCUGUUGGAUGAAAUGUUCUGUAAAUGUCUCUUU